rnacentral:rRNA from 1 species
AUUGAACGCUGGCGGCAUGCCUUACACAUGCAAGUCGAACGCGAAAGGGGGCAACCCUGAGUAGAGUGGCGAACGGGUGAGUAAUGCAUCGGAACGUGUCCUGUAGCGGGGGACAACCCCGAGAAAUCGGGGCUAAUACCGCAUACGUCCUACGGGAGAAAGUGGGGACCGCAAGGCCUCACACUAUAGGGGCGGCCGAUGCCGGAUUAGCUAGUUGGUGGGGUAAGAGCCCACCAAGGCGACGAUCCGUAGCUGGUCUGAGAGGAUGAUCAGCAACACGGGGGAUGAGACACGGCCCAGACUCCUGCGGGAGGCAGCAGUGGGGAAUUUUGGACAAUGGGCGCAAGCCUGAUCCAGCCAUGCCGCGUGAGUGAAGAAGGCCUUCGGGUUGUAAAGCUCUGUCGGCCGGGACGAAAUCGCUCUCGCUAAUAUCGGGAGUGGAUGACGGUACCGGAAUAAGAAGCACCGGCUAACUACGUGCCAGCAGCCGCCGUAAUAC